GUGGGGAAUCUUAGACAAUGGGCGCAAGCCUGAUCUAGCCAUGCCGCGUGAGCGAUGAAGGCCUUAGGGUUGUAAAGCUCUUUCAGGGGGGAAGAUAAUGACGGUACCCCCAGAAGAAGCCCCGGCUAACUCCGUGCCAGCAGCCGCGGUAAUACGGAGGGGGCUAGCGUUGUUCGGAAUUACUGGGCGUAAAGCGCACGUAGGCGGACCAGAAAGUCAGGGGUGAAAUCCCGGGGCUCAACCCCGGAACUGCCUUUGAAACUCCUGGUCUUGAGGUCGAGAGAGGUGAGUGGAAUUCCGAGUGUAGCGGUGAAAUUCGUAGAUAUUCGGAGGAACACCAGUGGCGAAGGCGGCUCACUGGCUCGAUACUGACGCUGAGGUGCGAAAGCGUGGGGAGCAAACAGGAUUAGAAACCCUAGUAGUCC
rnacentral:rRNA from 1 species